rnacentral:sRNA from 2 species
AUGUACCCCCCCGAACACCCCGGUUCCUGUGCGCCGUCCGCAACCACCUGCCGAUUGCUCGCUACGCGUUGUUAGUC